AUUGAACGCUGGCGGAAUGCUUUACACAUGCAAGUCGAGCGGCAGCGCGGGGCAACCUGGCGGCGAGCGGCGAACGGGUGAGUAAUGUAUCGGAACGUGUCCUGUCGUGGGGGAUAGCCCGGUGAAAACCGGAUUAAUACCGCAUACGAUCGAGAGAUGAAAGUGGGGGACCGCAAGGCCUCACGCGAUAGGAGCGGCAGAUAUCUGAUUAGCUAGUUGGUGGGGUAAAGGCCCACCAAGGCGUCGAUCAGUAGCUGGUCUGGGAGGAUGAUCGGCCACGCUGGGACUGGGAAACGGCCCAGACUCCUACGGGAGGCAGCAGUGGGGAAUUUUGGACAAUGGGGGCAACCCUGAUCCAGCCAUUCGGCGUGAGUGAAGAGGGCCUUCGGGUUGUAAAGCUCUUUUGUCCGGGAAGAAACGGUUUUGGCUAAUAACCAAGACUACUGACGGUACCGGAAGAAUAAGGACCGGCUAACUACGUGCCAGCCGCCGCCGUAA
rnacentral:rRNA from 1 species